CCUACGGGAGGCAGCAGUGGGGAAUAUUGGACAAUGGGGGGAACCCUGAUCCAGCGACGCCGCGUGAGUGAAGAAGUAUUUCGGUAUGUAAAGCUCUAUCAGCAGGGAAGAAAAUGACGGUACCUGACUAAGAAGCCCCGGCUAACUACGUGCCAGCAGCCGCGGUAAUACGUAGGGGGCAAGCGUUAUCCGGAUUUACUGGGUGUAAAGGGAGCGUAGACGGUGCAGCAAGUCUGAUGUGAAAGGUCGGGGCCCAACCCCGGAACUGCUUUGGAAACUGUGCGGCUGGAGUGCAGGAGGGGUAAGCGGAAUUCCUAGUGUAGCGGUGAAAUGCGUAGAUAUUAGGAGGAACACCGGUGGCGAAGGCGGCUUACUGGACUGUAACUGACGUUGAGGCUCGAAAGCGUGGGGAGCAAACAGGAUUAGAUACCCUGGUAGUC
rnacentral:rRNA from 1 species